rnacentral:rRNA from 1 species
UUUAAAGAGAGUUUGAUCCUGGCUCAGGACGAACGCUGGCGGCGUGCCUAAUACAUGCAAGUCGAACGAACGGAGGAAGAGCUUGCUCUUCCAAAGUUAGUGGCGGACGGGUGAGUAACACGUGGGCAACCUGCCUGUAAGUUGGGGAUAAC